rnacentral:tRNA from 1 species
GCCCUCAUAGCUCAUACGGUAGAGCGUUUCCAUGGUAAGGAAAAGGUACUCGGUUCGAUUCCGAGUGAGGGCU